rnacentral:misc_RNA from 1 species
GAUGAAGAACGCAGCGAAAUGCGAUAAGUAAUGCGAAUUGCAGAAUUCAGUGAGUCAUCGAAUCUUUGAACGCACAUUGCGCCCUGUGGUAUUCCGUAGGGCAUGCCUGUUCGAGCGUCAUUUCAACCCUCAAGCUCUGCUUGGUGUUGGGCCCUGCCCGCUGCGGCCGGCCCUAAAGACAGUGGCGGUGCCGCCUGGCCCUGAGCGUAGUACAUCUCUCGCUCCAGUGCCCGGUGGUAGCCUGCCAGAACCCCAACUCUCGUGGUUGACCUCGGAUCAGGUAGGGAUACCCGCUGAACUUAAGCAUAUCAAUAAGCGGAGGA